rnacentral:rRNA from 1 species
AUGGAGCCGACCUUGAAAUACCACCCUUUAAUGUUUGAUGUUCUAACGUUGACCCGUAAUCCGGGUUGCGGACAGUGUCUGGUGGGUAGUUUGACUGGGGCGGUCUCCUCCUAAAGAGUAACGGAGGAGCACGAAGGUUGGCUAAUCCUGGUCGGACAUCAGGAGGUUAGUGCAAUGGCAUAAGCCAGCUUGACUGCGAGCGUGACGGCGCGAGCAGGUGCGAAAGCAGGUCAUAGUGAUCCGGUGGUUCUGAAUGGAAGGGCCAUCGCUCAACGGAUAAAAGGUACUCCGGGGAUAACAGGCUGAUACCGCCCAAGAGUUCAUAUCGACGGCGGUGUUUGGCACCUCGAUGUCGGCUCAUCACAUCCUGGGGCUGAAGUAGGUCCCAAGGGUAUGGCUGUUCGCCAUUUAAAGUGGUACGCGAGCUGGGUUUAGAACGUCGUGAGACAGUUCGGUCCCUAUCUGCCGUGGGC